GGUCCGAGGGGAACUUCCGGCCAGUGCCCUCGGGAUUUACUGCGCGUACCCUGCUCUCCGACUGUGUGGAGGUGUUAGUGGCCUGUGGAGCGCGGUGGAUGUGGGCAGCAAGCUCCGAGGAGCCCGGUUGACCUGUCGCUCAAGUGAAGCCGGCAGAAAUCCCCGAGGAGCUUUGGAAACCUGCGGUUUAGGUGGAGCCGGCGUCGCCUGGCCCGCGAGCGUGAGCGAGUUUCCUAGUAGCUGGCGCCUUGGGGACUGAAUCAACGACUCCUCCGCUUUUUAAGUUUUUUUAGGGUGUGGAAAAAGCCCGGACUCAGCCUUAGCUUCCAAAGCUGCAGAAACAGGACACCUUUAACAGCUGACUCUUGUAUCAUCAUCUUUACCCCAUUGUCAUCUGUUUUUCAAAAUGUAAUUUGAACCAGCUGUAUCAAAUCUACCUGUGGCAGUUGUUCAAAAUGCAGGUCCCUGAGCCCUGCCCCGGCAUGCCUCCUAAAGCCCAAGGUUUUAACCCCCACUAGAGUUUGAAAUUAAACCCUAUACUACACAGCAGAGAAGAACCUGGGAAGAGGCUCAGUGCUCUAGGAAAUAUAAUUCCUGAGCCUUUGGUAGUAUCUUGACCUGGACCAGCAAAACUGACAGGGAGCUAGCACCGCAGAAGUACUGUGCUUGUUGAUACCGAAGACUUUGACAGUGGAGACAUAGCUAUCCUGAUGACUCGGGCACAUUGAGUCAUAGCCCAGCAGAUUUACUGCAUUAUUAAGUAUGAGCUAAUAUGCUAUGUGAAGCAAAGAAGCCCUGUAUUUACUGCCACGCCGAGUUGAUACUCUCCUCCCUGGUAAUUACUCAAAUCAGCAGCUAGGUUUUUGGUAGGUUAUUGCUCAGACUCUUUGACCCUCCCCAAAGUCAUAAAUAUGAAUAGUACCUGGGUUUCUCGACUUGAAUCCCAGUUUAUAUGCCAGCUGAGAAAAGAAUAAAUGUUUUAGAAGCAUGCGGUGAUCCAAAUUGAAGGAAGUUUGGACUAUGGUUUUGUAAGACUAGUUUUUCCUUCAGACACUAUUAGAUUGCUUUUGUAGAAGAAGCCAACAGAGGAGAGAUCCAUGUGUAUGGACAGAGCUAGAGUGAUUGGUGCUUCAACAGCAGUCUCUUCAACUUUGCUUGAGUGUGGAGGCCACACAGAUCACAAACUCCAUUGGCUGCAAGAUACCUUUGCUCAAAAGGAGCUAACCACUGCACUGUUCCUCAGCAUAUCAAAGCUAAGCUGAAUUGUAUGCUACUAACGAUUUGGAAAGAUGAAAGAGAUUAACAGCACAAAGAUGCCAAUAAUUUUAAAUAUGAUCUUUAAAAAAAACUGCAUUCUUAAAAUGAGAGAGAUACACUCAAGGAAGAAGCAACUGCUCCAUACAUUAGCAUGUCCAAAAAUGAUAAUUAGACCUGCUGAGCUAUCUUUGCAACCAGAGAGGAACCAGCUUGAAAACAAAGCCGACACAAUGAGACGACAGCAGAAAAUGAAAAGAACUUGAGUCUUCAAUGAUGAUAAUGAAGUGAUGGACUAAACCUGGAGGGAGAAUACCUACUAUGGGCUUCCUGUCAUCUAAGGUAAUACAUGCCUUUGCUGUUUAAACCAGUGUUUAUUUUCUGUACAAGCUUCAUAAUUGGGCUUAGGUACCUGUUAACCCCUUAGAAUGUCCUUUUAUGCUUUUCAUGAUUUUGCUGAAGUCAUCUGAGAAUAACAGAAAAGCACAUUUUCUGAUUCCAUCCCCUUAGAUAUGACUUUGGGUCUCUCACUCUGAAUGAUCAUGGUUAAUAAAGCAUAGAAAGCACUGAGAAGAGUAGAAGGUAAGUAGAUAGGAUAAGAUAUCUGAUGAAGGAGAUGAUCCUGAUAAGGUAAGGUGAAAUGUGAAAGUUAGGCAGGAGAUGCAAGUGAGAAAAGAAAGAAGGUGGCUAUUCUGGGAAGACUCUUAGAAAGCCAGUCUUAGGGACAUAUGAACCACAUAUUUGGGAAGAGUUGUGAAUCUCACAUUAUAGUAAUGGCAUCACUUCAAUCCAUGUUAUCCUCUCAUGGGGAAAAAAAUCAGUGUUCAUGGGAUAUCAGAGAAUUCAUGCUUGUUUUCUUCAGAAACAGACUAAAUGUCUCAUGAUGACAGGAUGAUUUUAAAAUGAAAGGCUUGAUAUUAAUUAUCCUGUAAACGUCUGAGCGGUCCAUAGCAUUGCUUUCUUUCAGCCUGGCACAAGUCUCAUAAACUAGAAGAUGACCUUAACACUCAAUCUGUGGUAGUUCUCCCCCAUGACCUCUUACCCUUUUCUAAACAUCUUCAUAAAGGCGUGGUAAUAUUUCUUCUGUGAAUCAUAUGAGAGCUUUUCACAUGGAUUUAAACAGUAAAUCUAACAAUAGGCUUUUUUUUGCCUGAUCACUCAGGGGCAUUUACUUAUUCUUAUAUUUUAGACAUUUGAGAAAAAAUAAUUCCUAAAAAUAUUAUAUUCAAUUGUAUUUGAAGCCAUAAAGAGGAAGGAAAUAAUAAAUUAGAGUAGAAAUAAAUGAAGUAGAGAGUUGAUAAACAAUAAAGAGAAUCAAUGAAACCAAAAAUUGAUUAUUUGAGAAAAAUCAACAAAUUGACAAAUCUAAAGAUUAAGAAAAAAGAGAAAUACUCAAAUUACUAAAAUCAGAAAUUAAAGAGGGUACAUUACUACUGACUUUACACCAUUAUAAGAGAGUAUUAUGAACAACUGUAUACUAACAAAUUAGAUGACUUGGAUGAAAUGGACAAAUUCAUAGAAAGACACACACUACCAAAACUAACUAAAGAAAUGGAAAAUCUGAAUGGACCUUUAACAAGUAAGGAGGUUGAAUCAGCAGUCAAAAAUCUCCCAACACAGAAAAACCUUGGGCCAGAUAGAUGGCUUCAUUGUGAUUUCUACUAACAUUUAAAGAAUUAACAUGAAUACUCAAACUCUUCCAAUAAACAGAAUAGGAAAGAAUACUUCUUAACUCAUUGUAUGAGGCUGACAUUACCAUGAUACUAAAGCCAGACAAAAACACUACAAAAUAAGAAAAGUACAAACCAGAUUUCCUUGUGAAUGUAGAUAUGAAACUCCUCAACAAAUGCUAGCAAAUAGAAUUCAGCAGCAUGUUAAUAGGAUUUUAUGCCAUAACUGAAGGGGAUUUAUCCCAGAAAUGCAAGAGAAGUUUAACAUACAAAAUCAAUGAAUGCAAUUCACCACAUUAAUAGAAUGAAGGAGGGGAACCACAUGGCCAUCUCAAUUGAUGUCGAAAAGCAUUUGCAAAAUCCGACAUGCCUUUUGAUAAAAGCACUCAGUAAACUAGGAUCAGAAGGGAACUUUCUCAGCAUGAUAAUGGGUACAUAUUUUAAAACUCCAAGGUAACAUCAGCAUCAAGGGGAAAAAACUAAAAGUUUUUCCUCUAAAAUUAGGAGCAAGACAGAAUUCCUGCUUUUGCCACUUCUAUUCAACAUAGUAUUGGCAGUUCUGGCCAGAGUAAUUAGGCAAGAAAGAGAAAUAAAAUGUAUCCAGAUUGGAAAGGAAAAAGUAAAACUGUCUCUAUUUACAGAUUACAUGAAUGUAGAAAGCCCUAAAGAAUACACACAUAUACCCCUUUUAGAGCUAAUUAGUGAAUUCAGCAAAGUUUCAAGAUAAAAAAUCAACACACAAAACCAGUUGAAUUUCUGUACACCAGCAAUGAAAAAUCUGAAAAGGAAAUUAAGGACACAAUUCUGUUUUAUAAUAGCAUCCAAAAGAGUAAAAUAUUUAAGAAUAAAUUUAACCAAUGAGGCACAAAACUUGUACACCGAAAACUAUAAAACAUUGCUGAAAGAAAUCAAAGAAUAUCUAAAUAAAUAGAAAGAUAUUCUAU